rnacentral:tRNA from 1 species
GUGGGUUGUAGCUCAGUGGUAGAGUGCUCGCCUAGCAUGCACAAGGCAUGAGUUUGAUCCUCAGCACCACA